rnacentral:rRNA from 1 species
GGGGAAUAUUGGACAAUGGGGGGAACCCUGAUCCAGCAAUGCCGCGUGUGUGAAGAAGGCCUGAGGGUUGUAAAGCACUUUCAGUGGGGAGGAGGGUAUAUUGGUUAAGAGCUGGUAUAUUGGACGUUACCCACAGAAGAAGCACCGGCUAACUCCGUGCCAGCAGCCGCGGUAAUACGGGGGGUGCAAGCGUUAAUCGGAAUUACUGGGCGUAAAGGGUGCGUAGGUGGUUAUAUAAGUUAUCUGUGAAAUCCCCGGGCUUAACCUGGGCAGGUCAGAUAAGACUGUGUGACUAGAGUAUGGGAGAGGGUAGUGGAAUUUCCGGUGUAGCGGUGAAAUGCGUAGAGAUCGGAAGGAACACCAGUGGCGAAGGCGGCUACCUGGCCCAAUACUGACACUGAGGCACGAAAGCGUGGGGAGCAAAC